rnacentral:rRNA from 1 species
GACGAACGCUGGUGGCGUGCCUAAUACAUGCAAGUCGAGCGGACCAAUAGAAGCUUGCUUCUGUUGGUUAGCGGCGGACGGGUGAGUAACACGUGGGCAACCUGCCUGUAAGACUGGGAUAACUUCGGGAAACCGGAGCUAAUACCGGAUAAUUCAUCCCCUCGCAUGAGGGGAUGCUGAAAGUCGGUUUACGCUGACACUUACAGAUGGGCCCGCGGCGGAUUAGCUAGUUGGUGAGGUAAUGGCUCACCAAGGCGACGAUGCGUAGCCGACCUGAGGGGGUGAUCGGCCACACUGGGGCUGAGACGCGGCCCAGACUCCUACGGGAGGCAGCAGUAGGGAAUCUUCCACAAUGGACGAAAGUCUGAUGGAGCAACGCCGCGUGAGCGAUGAAGGCCUUCGGGUCGUAAAGCUCUGUUGUUAGGGAAGAACAAGUAUCGGAGUAACUGCCGGUACCUUGACGGUACCUAACCAGAAAGCCACGGCUAACUACGUGCCAGCCGCCGCCGUAA